UUGCAGCCAGCGGCGCUCCUCCCCGGCGUGCAUCAGAGCCCGGCAGCGCUCUUCCUCGGCGUGGAUCCGAGCCCGGCGGCGCUCCUCCCCGGCGGUUCGUCCUCAGUUGUGAAGCAUCCCCGGCGGCUCGUCCUCUGGUGCCGCGUCUCCCCCGGCGGCGCUCUCCUCGGCGUGGAUCCGAGCCCGGCGGCCCUCCCUCGGCAACCCUCCCCGGCGUGGAUCCAGGCCCGCGCGUCCCCCGGCAACCCACCCCUGCGCCCCUUCCCCAGCAGUCUUCCCCACUCCCGGCGCCCCUGCUGCUCGUCCUCGUCUCUGGACAGUGAAGGUGACAUGCUCCUCCACAAAUCUUGA
rnacentral:misc_RNA from 1 species